rnacentral:rRNA from 1 species
UACGGGGGGGGCAAGCGUUGUUCGGAAUUACUGGGCGUAAAGGGCUCGUAGGCGGCCAACUAAGUCAGACGUGAAAUCCCUCGGCUUAACCGGGGUACUGCGUCUGAUACUGGAUGGCUUGAAUCCGGGAGAGGGAUGCGGAAUUCCAGGUGUAGCGGUGAAAUGCGUAGAUAUCUGGAGGAACACCGGUGGCGAAGGCGGCAUCCUGGACCGGCAUUGACGCUGAGGAGCGAAAGCCAGGGGAGCAAACGGG